rnacentral:misc_RNA from 1 species
AUGGUCGGCGCCCGAAACAGGGACUGU